GCUGCUCAAGUAUGUUGCCUCUCCGUGGCGAGCAGCAGGCAACGAGAGACUCUCUCGGCUAAAAGCAUAU
rnacentral:ribozyme from 1 species